rnacentral:lncRNA from 1 species
UCCACCCUCCAAAUUAAAUAAUAUGUUCUUUGUGCAGGAGAGGUGAGCUGUUUGAUUUGUGCUGUGGUUGCACCAGCUGAUGUAGUCAAGAUAUACCCAACCCUGUCCCCUGUGUUAGAGCAUAUGGAGGGUCCCACAAGAAUCAAGUCAUUUUUCCUCUCUAUGCCUCUGCUGUCCAAACCGUCCAUUUAGACUGCAUAAUUCCAAGAGAAAAAUACAAAGAAUUACCUAAAUUAAGCAUC